CCCCCCCCCCCACAAAGAGAGCAAUGGAAGAAUUUCACGAGGUUGCUAUAGCUUACUACAACAAUGCCCCUAGAAACCUUCAGCGACUGGCAUGGAGUUUCUUCCUCGCAUUGGACUCGGAUGGAGAUGGCCAAAUCAGCUACACUGAGUACAUCAACUUCCUCCGGCAAUGCGGCUAUGGCUGGAUCAGCUCCAACUUCUUCUAGGACCUGGACCGCAACCGCGAUGGCUGCCUGGGUUUCUGGGAAGUCCUCACUCUGUACUAUGUGAUUAAAACCAGGGGCCUUUGGUGCCAAAGGUGUCAAACAUGCCUAGUUGGACUGUAUUUUACUUGCGUUUCAUGCUUUGACAGUGGCUCCAGGACUUAUGAUCUUUGUUCUGCAUGCUAUAAGCAAAAGAAGUUCAGUCACAACCACACCAACUUCAUGGAUAACCAUCUCUUGCUUCGGUCCAAGAGAGGGCUUCCUGCUGGUACUGCAAACAUCAAUCUGGCACUCGCUCCACGACCUGCGAUUAAUGCUGCAGCUGCUGUGGAUGAUGAUUUGAUGCAAUCAUUUCAAGCAUUGCAGAUAGGGGUUGCUGGAGGGAAACCGAACACUUGCAUCGUUAUGUAAUCAUAUCACGAGCAAGGCAUGACGGCCAUGCAACUACGCUCGUGUUUCAAUAAAGCAUGGUCAAGAAUCAAGAUUUGGCAAUAUAUAUACUCUUGUAUUUCCCUAAAUGCUUUGGUCUGAAUAAACUACCAGGCUUGCAACAA